AUAAACUAGCCCUAUUAAUGGAGUAGGAUCCGAGACUCCUUUCGGGGUCAAACAGACUCUCCUAUCAACAGAGUGGAAACUUUCCCCACCACAUUUCCAAGCUUGGGUGCACGGGCCUGUCCCAACCGAAUGGGCGGAUGGUGGAGCAAGGCUAAACAAGAGGGG
rnacentral:ribozyme from 1 species